rnacentral:lncRNA from 1 species
GUCCUGGAUGAUGAUCAUGGAGCUGUGGUUUACCCUGUCAGGAGGUCAGUAGCUCCUCCUGCAGUUCAGCGUUGGGGCGACGUCCCUGGGCAGCAUAACUGUGGCGCACCUGGUUACCCUGAGAUGAUUCCGGCGCAAGCACAGUUCUGUUGUUUGCGUUGCAAGGCUGCUUAUUUAUUUUUAAAGGAGUGUAAUGAACAAAUAAAUUUACUCUAUUCGGAGUCUCGAAGCCACCAAAAAGGAUUGGUGGUGGGAGAUUUGGCAUCCUCAGCCAUCAGGUCUCCAGAAGAUGCUGAUUCAGGAGCGAAGCAAACCAUAGGAACAGUUCCAGGGGGAACAUGUCGUCCCCAAGAAAAAAUGAUACUGACACAUCAUUUUGUUCUCCGUAGCAUCCGAUUUUGA